AGUGAACGCUGGCGGUAGGCCUAACACAUGCAAGUCGAACGGCAGCACAGAGGAGCUUGCUCCUUGGGUGGCGAGUGGCGGACGGGUGAGGAAUACAUCGGAAUCUACUCUGUCGUGGGGGAUAACGUAGGGAAACUUACGCUAAUACUGCAUACGACCUACGGGUGAAAGCAGGGGAUCUUCGGACCUUGCGCGAUUGAAUGAGCCGAUGUCGGAUUAGCUAGUUGGCGGGGUAAAGGCCCACCAAGGCGACGAUCCGUAGCUGGUCUGAGAGGAUGAUCAGCCACACUGGAACUGAGACACGGUCCAGACUCCUACGGGAGGAAGCAGUGGGGAAUAUUGGACAAUGGGCGCAAGCCUGAUCCAGCCAUACCGCGUGGGUGAAGAAGGCCUUCGGGUUGUAAAGCCCUUUUGUUGGGAAAGAAAUCCAGCUGGCUAAUACCCGGUUGGGAUGACGGUACCCAAAGAAUAAGCACCGGCUAACUUCGUGCCAGCCGCCGCCGUAA
rnacentral:rRNA from 1 species